UCCCUGGUGGCUCAGAUGGUAAAGAAUCUGCCUGCAAUGCAGGAGACCUGGGUUUGAUUCCUGGGUUGGGAA
rnacentral:tRNA from 1 species